rnacentral:rRNA from 1 species
CGCGGUAAAACCAGCACCUCAAGUGGUCAGGAUGAUUAUUGGGCCUAAAGCAUCCGUAGCCGGCUCUGUAAGUUUUCGGUUAAAUCUGUACGCUUAACGUACAGGCUGCCGGGAAUACUGCAAAGCUAGGGAGUGGGAGAAGUAGACGGUACUCGGUAGGAAGUGGUAAAAUGCUUUGAUCUAUCGAUGACCACCUGUGGCGAAGGCGGUCUACUAGAACACGUCCGACGGUGAGGGAUGAAAGCUGGGGGAGCAAACCGGAUUAGAUACCCGGGUAGUCCCAGCUGUAAACUAUGCAAACUCAGUGAUGCAUUGGCUUGUGGCCAAUGCAGUGCUGCAGGGAAGCCGUUAAGUUUGCCGCCUGGGAAGUACGUACGCAAGUAUGAAACUUAAAGGAAUUGGCGGGGGAGCAC